UUUAAAGUAAGUAUCAUGAAAGGUAGCUCACAUAUACAGAGCAUCAACCUCUUGCUAGAAGACGUAGCAACAAUAGCACAUGUGCAAUUUAGAAGAAUAAUAAAAAAUCCUUAACAUCUAAUAUGGUGCACACACCAAGUCUAACCAUUUACUUGUUGAUCAACUCAUCUUGAACUUCUCAUCAAAUGUGCAAAAGUUGAUUCCAAUCUACAAAUAGUGCCAUGAAUAAUUGAUAUUCAAAAUCGCAAAUAUUUGCGGUUUGCAUAUCAUUCAAAAUACUAAACAUAACAUUCAAACAUAUCACUCUAUCGUGGUCCUGAGAUCUGCUGCGAGGAGAUAUAGGACAAACAAAUACGGGAGUCGCUUGUAGUACUUGUUGUAGAAUCAUUUGCUUGCGGAAACAAAGUGAAGUCGCUUUGCCCAUUCUCCUGCUCUAUCAUGGAUGCCUCAGCAAAUCUACGCCCAUAAAAUCGCAAGAAAUGUAGAGAUUCCACUUUUGGCUGACCUAAAGGGAUACAGCCUUCCAACAUUCCUACAAUACUAACCAUAUUAGGCCUCAAUGAUGGUUCCUCAUGAACACAACAUAGAGCUAUACGCACUAAUUUUUCCACCUCUUCACUUGAGACCCUACCCUCUAGUCUUGGGUCAGCAAGCUCCAUGUAACUCCCUUGCUCAUGCAUCUCCAAUGCCAAUAAUGGGAAAUACACAACUCCUGAUCUUGAUGAUGACGUUGAGUGGCCACCACCACUGUUGCUGUUGUCCACGCUAUGGCUUUGUGAUCGGGUCGAGCAAUUUUUCCUUCCACUCACAAUUUCAAGGAGCACCAUUCCAAAACUAUAAAUAUCUGUUUUUUCUGAGAUUGCUGAGUUAGUAAGCCAUUCAGGUGCAAGAUAGCCACGAGUGCCCCUCAUUGUUGUGAAUAAACAGGACUGUUCAGGGCUUAGAAGCUUUGAGAGGCCAAAAUCGGAUAUCUUGGCCUGAAACUGAUCAUGCAAAAGAAUGUUCUCAGGUUUGACGUCACAAUGGAUAAUUUUUUGCUCACACCCAGUGUGCAAGUAUGCUAGCCCACGAGCAGUUCCAAGUGCUAUCUCAAACCUCUCUUGCCAUUCCAAGACAAGUCCACUAUCAAAAAGGGCCUUGUCCAGUGAGCCACGAUUCAUAUACUCAUAAACUAAAAGGCGAUGUCUACCUUGGGCACAAAAUCCUCUUAAUUUCACCAGAUUGACAUGGUGUAUGCUUCCAAUGACUGCUAUUUCAGUGCAAAAAUCUUUUGUCCCUUGUACUCCUAAACUGGUUAUCUUCUUUACUGCCACAACUGAUUUAUCAGGCAUUGUGCCCUUGUAUACAGCACCAAACCCGCCUGAGCCAAUCUGUGUUUUAAAAUUAUCAGUAGCCACCUCAAUCUCUUCAUAGUCAAACCGUUGGGGUAAGCCUGGGAUGUGGAAGGCAUCCAGAUCACCAGAAGAAAGUGAGCUUGCAUGACCUAGUUUUAUCUCUCUAUUUGAAGCUUUCCAUCUUCUCCACCAGAGGAAACCAAGAGCAACCAUUAGGAGGAGUCCAGUGAAAGGUAACAAUACCAGAGCAAUUACAGGGAAUUGUUGAGUUUGAUCACUAUAGGUGUUAUUGAG
rnacentral:misc_RNA from 1 species